rnacentral:sRNA from 1 species
GUAGGCCCCGCGGCCUGCGCCCGCUCGCCGGCCUCACCCCCGGCCCUCUGCCGGUCGGGACCCAGCGGCCCGGGUCCGCGGCUUCCGGGGCGCCCGGGACACCCCGACUGCUCCGCCCUGUCCAAUGGGAGGGCCCGAGAGGCCCGCACCCCAUGCCGGAGGCCGGGUGGUUUGGCGUCUCAGAGGGGCCCGAGGGCGCGGAAGCCGAGGCCUCCUCCCGCCGCAACCUCGCGCGGUGGAGAAAUGGGGAGGUCCCGAGCUGGGAGCCCGCGGGAGCUACCGGCCAGCUGCUGCCGCUGCGAAGCUGACAUCGCCUGCUUUGCAGCCACAGAUGGGAAACUCUUGUCUAAUGAUGUGACUCAUUACGUGAUCCCAGACUGGAAAGUUGUUCAAGAUUAUCUUGAGAUCCUUGAGUUU